GGCCAUUCGGUUCAUCAGCCAGCCCAAUCAGGUCUGCCUCCCAGCUCUCUCUUCACUAUGACCUUCUUCCCCCUUCCAUGUAGUUUAAGCUGCUGCCUAGAGCGUUUGGACAGCCUUUUUCUGCUGCCGGCCAAGCUGUCUCUCUGCCUUUUCCACACUGCACCUCACCCAGCAGUCAAAGUAGGCAGUCCCUCGGAUUCCUACCGCAGUGCUCUGGCUCAAGACCUUCCGGCACUUGUUACAUAUGUAUCUUAUUGUGAUUCUUCUUCACCUUGUUCUCUGACUGCCCCGGUGGGACAGCGAUUCUUGGUUGUUCACCCUUCAAUCUCUCUGGCUUACAAGAAGAGCAGCAUGGACCAUGAACAUCAACAAGGCCUGCUGCGGCAGGAAGAAUCGACACGGCCUCUGGAGGUGGCAUGGACCACGGACGUCUUUCAAGGAGACUUAAUCCAGAAAACGGAUCACUCAUCUCAGACAAUCUUGUUCAGAGUCAGUGUGUGCAGUUGGGCCGUGUGUCUGGGGGCAGGACCUGUGUGAAAUCCAGGCUGCUGCACAGCACUCUGCCCUUAGCUGCCCUGUCAACAGCCUAGGCACAACCAUCCUAUCUGCAGCACAAGGGCAGUGAGGUAACCCUGGAUCUUAUCCCCACAGCAGGGCGAGCAGCCAGAGAAGCUCCAGCUGCUGUAAUGUAAACAAAUAAUAUGUAAUAAAAAAAGAAAUAAAAGUAACAAAAAAAGAAAGAAA
rnacentral:lncRNA from 1 species